CGGCCCUCAUCUACGGGAGUGUCCGAGGUGAAGAAAUACAGAAACUCGACGACGAAAAGGGGGGCGGGCGGGGGUCACGAGAAGGUGCCGCGCUCGAGGAGGGUCCCGGCACUCCCUCGGAACCACAGAUGUUUUCCUCCUGGCCCUGGGGCGCGGCGCCCCAGCCCCGGGCGUUCCGGCGUUUGUGUGUCCGGGUUUCCGAGGAAGGGAUUACGCAGCGGGAGCAGCCGCGGCAACGCGGGCGUUGGGCCACAGUAGCGGUAAAGCGACGCCUGGCCUUCUUUGUUGACUUUUAGGUCUCGGGCUCAACAGAAGAUUUAUUCGCUAGGAGGGGAAAAUGCCCAAACAAUGAAGAACUAACUGCACUUGUCACCCCGAGAGGCUUGCGGGCCUGCUCUGUCCCUCUUCCCCGGCAACCGGCUGCCUUUGCCCCAAACGGCGCACAACCUAACGCGCGGGGCGCAGAUCACCUCGGCCAGACGUUGCAGAGCGCGCGCAAGUGUGGAGUGGGGCGAUCAAAGUAAAGGCUGUCCAAGUUCAAGCCUUGGCGAGGAUGGAGUUCAUACACAGGGGCUCAGGCAGGCUAGCCUCUGCUUGGGCUGGUGUUGUUAUUGUUGAUGUCAAUCCGAACAAGACUUACAAAGAAAUAGGUGGACUGGAAAGUGAGCCUACUAUCAAAGGAGAUUAAUGAUUUUGUGAUCUCAAGCAACUGUAGGGGUGUGAAGUUGCAUUUAAAAGCUUCUUAGAAGGCAAACAAAUCAGCUUUAAAGUUCUCAGGAAUGAUAUUUUUAGAAACCGUAUUUUUAGAAGUAUCUUCACAAAAUACAAAAUAGCAGCUACCCUGAAAUGUCCUGAUGGCACAAAGCUUCCCCUGCAGGAGUGAAUUAACUUGCCUCCCCUUCACCCCCUCCAAAGCAACCAUGAUGGUUUUGUUUCUCUUUUAAUGGAAAAAAAAAAGAGAGAGAGAGAGAGAGAGUUCAGGAUUCUUUGUUGUGGACAACUUAAUUUUAUCAGCCACAUAUGAUAUUUUAUUCUCCUAGAAUACUUCUCAGAUAAAGGAAAAUUAUACAUUGAAGAAGGGGGCACUGUAGUUAUAUUAAUGAAUUUGAUUUCAUUGUGGACAG